UUUGGCCGAAUACAAAGCUAGUUAUAAUAUGGCACAUAUUAAUGUCUCCACGAUGAAGGUGCAUUGUACCUCUUUGUUUUGAAUCAAAAUAUAUUACACUUUUUUCCCCAUGGAACUAUAAGCUAACUAUAAAAUAAGGUGGUGGUGUAUGAUUAACAAUGACACAGCUACCCAAGGCACCAAAAUAACACAAAUGUUAGCAUCCCUUUGUCACCUUACAGCCUUGGAGACUAAUCAAAUCUAUACUGAAUAGCAUUCUGUAAUAAUCACCGACCAGUAGCCCAAACAAUAAAACCAAAUACUUAAUUAUUGGGCAAAACAAUAAACGAAAAACAAAUAAGAUGUACAUGAACAAACAACUACUUAUAUGACAACCACUGACUUAUGUUCUCUUUGCUAGGUACAGGCAUAUACAGAAUGUAAAUUAAAUCUUCAUAGAUACCAUGAUUAAACGUUUGUACUUCAGACAAGAGUCUCGUCUACACAAGACUUGUCAAUGCCGCUGGUAUACUUUUAGUAACAGGGUUAAACAUGUUUGGGGCGCUAAACACCAUUCUAACAUUAUACAAUAAUAUUACAAAAC
rnacentral:lncRNA from 1 species